rnacentral:rRNA from 1 species
CCUACGGGAGGCAGCAGUGAGGAAUAUUGGUCAAUGUGCGAGAGCCUGAACCAGCCAAGUCGCGUGAGGGAGUACUGCCCUAUGGGUUGUAAACCUCUUUUGUCGGGGAGCAAAAGCCGGACGUGUCCGGCUGUGAGAGUACCCGAAGAAAAAGCAUCGGCUAACUCCGUGCCAGCAGCCGCGGUAAUACGGAGGGUGCGAGCGUUAUCCGGAUUUAUUGGGGUUAAAGGGUGCGCAGGCGGAUUUUUAAGUCAGCGGUCAAAUCGUGGGGCUCAACCCCAUCCAGCCGUUGAAACUGGGGAUCUAGAGUGUGCGAGAGGUAUGCGGAAUGCGUGGUGUAGCGGUGAAAUGCAUAGAUAUCACGCAGAACCCCGAUUGCGAAGGCAGCAUACCGGUGCACAACUGACGCUCAGGCACGAAAGCGUGGGUAUCGAACAGGAUUAGAUACCCUUGUAGUC